CCUACGGGUGGCAGCAGUGGGGGAUAUUGCACAAUGGGGGAAACCCUGAUGCAGCGACGCCGCGUGAACGAUGAAGUAUUUCUGUAUGUAAAGCUAUAUCAGCCAGGAAGAAAAUGACGGUACCUGACUAAGAAGCCCCCGCUAACGACGUGCCAGCAGCCGCGGGAAUACGUAGGGGGGAAGCGUUAUCCGGAUUUACUGGGGGUAAAGGGGGCGUAGAGGGCUGGUCAAGCCAGAUGGGAAAGGCUGGGGAUUAACCUAAGGACUGCAUUUGGAACUGUCAUGCUAGAGUGUCGGAGAGGCAGGUGGAAUUCCUAGUGUAGCGGUGAAAUGCGUAGAUAUUAGGAGGAACACCAGUGGCGAAGGCGGCCUGCUGGACGAUGACUGACGUUGAGGCUCGAAAGCGUGGGGAGCAAACAGGAUUAGAUACCCUGGUAGUC
rnacentral:rRNA from 1 species